GACAUAGGUGGCGAACGUUAUCCGGAUUUAUUGGGCGUAAAGGAUGCGUAGAUGGUAGAAUAAGUUAUUGGUCGAAAUCGAGCUCAACUUGAUGGAGGCUAGUAAUACUGUUCUACUAGAGGGCAGAAGAGGUUAGCGGAACUUACACAAGUAGGGGUGGAAAUCCAAAUGAUCUGUGAGGGACCACCAAAAAAGGCGAAAGGCAGCUAAACUAUUCUGUUCCAUGAC
rnacentral:rRNA from 1 species